UCGCGGCUUAUCACCGGCAGUCCCCUUAGAGUGCCCAACUUAAUGAUGGCAACUAAGGGCGAGGGUUGCGCUCGUUGCGGGACUUAACCCAACAUCUCACGACACGAGCUGACGACAGCCAUGCAGCACCUGUGCACGGACUCCGAAGAGGGCCUCGACUUUCAUCGAGGUUUCCCGUGCAUGUCAAGGCCAGGUAAGGUUCUUCGCGUUGCAUCGAAUUAAGCCACAUACUCCACCGCUUGUGCAGGCCCCCGUCAAUUUCUUUGAGUUUUAAUCUUGCGACCGUACUUCCCAGGCGGCUUGCUUAACGCGUUAGCUCCGCCACAAGAGGGGUCGAUUCCUCUUACAGCAAGCAAGCACCGUUUAGGGCUAGGACUAC
rnacentral:misc_RNA from 1 species